UUUAACCUUUAAAUUCUGGAGCCACCCGAAAGCCGAGGGGAGGACGCCGGGCGUCGGUGCUAAUGAGGGUGGGGGUGGGCGGUGGGCGGCUGAGUCCUGGGCAGGUCCCGGGGGGCUCAUCCUGGAAGGCCCUGGGAGCCCUUCUCCCUGGCCACCUCCCCCAUCAGACCGGGAGUGCGUUUGAUUGGGCGGCCAGGAGGCAUUGGUCCUUCUCCCCGCCCAGCGGGGGGGUGGUGUCUUACGGGAAGUCAGGGUCUCACCGUGGCGUGAGUGAGGGGGCUGCCUAGGGCUCUGGGCCCCGCCCAGACUGGCCUCCUGCUGAGGUCCACCCCUAUCCCCACCUACAUUCUUCCGCUUUUCCCAGCCUAGUGUUCAUUUGAGAAACCCACCCCGGCUCCCCUCCUUCCUCCACCCCGGCGAGUCACCCGUGCUCCCGGCUGUUUCCUGCCCCACCUGGGGAGGGCAUCUGGGUACCUCAGGCUUGUCCUAGGUCCCCAGAGAUAGACAGAAACAGCAGGACUGGAGGGAUGUUGUGGUCUCACUAAGCCUCAGUUUCUUCAUCUGUAAAAUAGGGGUGAUGAUAAUAGGCAGAUGCCAGGGGUGCUUUGGGCCCCGUCUUGCAUCUUGAUUCUCUCACCCGAGCCAGGAGUCAGGAGAUACGGGCUCUAGUCUUAGCCAGGAAUUGUCUCUUUCUUUCUUGGCACUGGUCUCCCCAUCUGUAAAUUGGGAGUAAGAGCUCCUGCCCUGUGUCCUCUGGGGUGGAGUAGGGAGGUGCCAAGUGAGAUGGCGUAGGUGACGGAGCUCAGCAAACUGUACCUGUCGGGGCAGGUGGGAAGGAACUUCUUGUAUCUUCUAGAACCACCACUUUCUCCCUUCCAGGCUUUUGCCUAUAGGUGUGGCCUUCCCUUCAGUGUCUCCUCCUCUGGGAAGCCCUCCCUGAUUGCCCCAGCAGGUCCUCUCCUCCUGCUGCCCUGGGUGUCUCACCUCAAGCUCAGGCCCCGAUUAUCUGCCUCCCACACAGGUCUGUGAGCCCUCUGGGGGCAGGAACCACAUGCCUGACGAGGGCCUGGUCCAGAGCCCCUUGGGAAGAGAGACACCAGACCUCUGAUGCAGGAGGAGGUCUUGGGCCACACUGCCCAGGCUUCGGGCAAGCAGUGGCCUCUGUUGGUGGGGAACCAUCUUUCCUCAGUGAUCAGCAGGUCCCAGGUACCUGCGUGGCACUGGCCCUUUCCCUGUACUCAGCAGGGCGGCCGGUGGAGCCGCCACUGGGUGCUAGGACCUAGAGAGCCCAGACUGACUACAGGAGACCCUGCCCAGAGCUCCUAACUGGGGUGAGAGGCAAAGGGCAGGUGGGGGAGGCAGUAGAAGGAAACCAUGAGUUCACACUGGGGUAGCCCAGCUGUGCCUGCCCAUCUUAGACACCUUCCAGCCAUUAUCCCAUCGACUCCCCCCAAUAACUCAUUGGAGGCACUGCUAUUGUUACUCACGUUUUGCAGAUGAGGAAACUGAGUAGUUGAGCAACACGGCUAGUGAGAGCAGAGCCUGGAUGCACCCAGUCCCCUUCUCCCAAGGCCAGGCCCAGCAGCCCCUGCCUCUCUGGGAAGGAUGAAAGGGAGGUGCAGGGAGGGGCGAUGUUUCUGGAGCAGCUGCCCUGAGACCUUCUGGGCAAAUUGUCACAGAGAGUCUUGAGAAUGCUUUUGUGUGUGGUGUGCAAAGGAAAUCCCCUUUGGUGUCUCUGAGAGAUCGGGAAGAUUUAAACUGCUUUUCGAUGAUUUGGGGGUGUCAGACUGGUACUGCUUUUGAACGUGACAUGGUGAUGAGACUGGGCCCCAAGGCAGUCCAGUUUUAUUCAGGUUACGGUAAUAAUCAUCACCACAGCAGCAACUAGAGCAGUUUUCACGGGUGAGCGCUCACCACGUGCUGAAUGCUGGGCUCAACCGUGGCUUGGAUACACACUCUGCAUCCUCACCACCAGCUUGAGAUAGAGAUUAUUCUCAUCCUCGGGUUAUUUCCUCAUAGCUGAUAUCUAAACGUGUUUGUCUCCACGCUCAGUCUCCCCUGCUAGGCAGGGGAGCUUGGUGAAGGCCCCAAUCUUGUCUCUCCCAUUCAUCGCUGAGUCCCCGGCACCCAGCAUCAGCUCCUCAAGGAGCAGCUGGACAAUAAAGCUUUGCCGGACACAUUUCAGAUGAAGAGACUGAGGGUCAGAGAGGUCACACAGCUUGCUAAGAGGGAAUCCCAGGUUUCUGUGGCUCGAGAGACCAGUUUCUAAUCACCAACUCAUACAGAAGCUUGAAAGGCCCUCUCGGAGACCUGCCUCAAGACAGCCAGAGAGCAUGAAUCCCCCCACCCUUACCCCCUGCCCACCGUUCUCAGGCCUGGUCCUAAAGCCCAAGAGACUUCUAAUCUGAAUCUGCCCCCUCCCCACCUCCUGCCUGCUUACCAGGGGAUCAGAUGGAAGUUGGCCAGAGUUAGCUCAGGCUUGGGGAAGUUGUACUCUUCCAGAGUUGCCUGGUGUUUUUGGUGUGACCUCAUUCAAAAUUUCCUUCCCCAUCACACUGGUUCCCACUCGGAGAAAUCUUUGAAGUAGAGAUGACCUUAUUAUGUGGUUACUGGCCCGGUUAAUUCAUAUGUGCACUUGAUCAUUGCUGCUUCUCUCUGGGAUGGGGCCCUUGGUUCUGGGGGAGUCUAACCAAGGGUCUCAUGGAGGCCAGCGGUAAUAAACCCAAGACGCUCAUGGUUAAGAACUUGACUCUGUCACUGAGUGACCUUGGGAACCUCAUUUGACCUCUCUGAGCCUUGACGUGUUCGUAAAAGGGGGACAGGCAUGGGGAGUAUCUGUCUUGAAUGCUGGCUGCAGGUGGGAAGAAAGAGAUCAAGUUUUCUCUUUUUAAAAAAAAAUCACACUUUCCACAAAUAAUAGACAAUUUUUAUCCCUGUACUUUAAGAAAUGUUAAUUUUAAAAAAACCUGAACACCAGACCGUACCUGGGCACCUGCCACGUGCCCAGCCUUGCAUCGGAGCUGGGGCUGGAUAGGGGUACCCCACUCGUGGGUGUGGCCUGUGAUGCGUGUGUUCACCUGCUCAGGCCGUCCUCACAGCAACCCCACAAGGUUCGAGGGACCGGGAUCGCCAUUUCCCAGGGGAGGAAACAGGCACAGAGAGGAGACGUGACUGGCUUUACGUUCCACGCUGAGAAGCGGAUGAGUCUGGCAUUGGACCUGGACGCUCUGUUCUACUGAUGAACAGACCUGUGAGCCCUGACUGCAGGGCCCUAAGUGAGCUUUCAGGGCACAAAGACGAACCAGGGGCGCCCGUGCCCUGGGGGAGCUACCUCUCCUAGGAGCGGGGGACACAUUGAAAAACCAGUGAAACGUGGUGUAACGGGGGCACCUGAGGCUGGUUGGUGCGUCCACAUCAGAGUUCUAGGCCCUUCGCUGUACAGAUGGAUGGUACAUGUUUUUUUUUUAAUACCUCCGCUCGAGCUGUAUUUGAAAGCCAGCUGGCUUACCCUUCACUGUGCUGUUCUAGUCCAUGGCCGCGGGGCCUCUGGACUGGGGUCUCCGGCUCCUGCCACUCAGACACAAGGGAUCCUUUUUUUAAGAAGUGGCUGUGCCCCUCCCCCCGAAUCCCGAGUCCAAAGGUGACUUCAAGUCCCUCGUGGAAGGACACCUUCCAGUGGUCAAGAACCUGGGGUCCCCACGCUGACAAGGUGUCUCCAGACGGAGGAAGCGCGUGGCAGGGGCGUGAGCUGAAGUUGUCCGUUGAUCGCAAGCCCCCUGUAUCCACUGGACCUCAGAGCCCCGGCGGUUAACCUCUGAAUGUUCCCGACCAGAACCUCCAAAGCCUAACACCUCCUGUGGGUGUGGGGUGGAGGUGGGAGGGAUGGAGGGGAAGGGUCUGCCUCGAAGGAGCGAGGGAAACACCAUCCCAGCCCCAGACGUGAGCUCGGACAAGCCGAGAUGGGAAGAAAGGUGCAGAGCGGAGCGGAAGUCGCACGCGAGGCCCACCGGGAGGUCUUGUUGCCGGUCUCCACAAGAAAUUCAAGGUUGUCAGCGGCUGGCUUCCUGCGAACAGGAGCCCACACGUCAUGGUCUGCUUCCGUGGAGAGCAUGGCACGAGAGCAUCUCGUGAAGACCUGUGAGACCAGGUGGCCCAGCCCUGCCCGCUGGGGCUGCCUCCAGCGCUCGAUCCACUUGAAAGAAAACAGAAGCUGAUUCCUCUCUCCAUCCCCGCCAGAAAACUUCCUCCUGCUCUCAUUUGCCCCCAGGCCCAUGUUGGCCCAGCAAGAAAACUGCCUCUGUGUAAGUAAUAGCAGCUUUCUCAGUGUGGGUCUAUCAAGGGCGUCCACGAUGCCGUGCAGCUCCCAUCGGAGAGUCUGAAGGAGCACCGUGGGUUGACGUAAUCCCAUCCGAAGCAAAGAAAGGUGAUGUCGUUUGGAGCCUGUGGUGGCCGGGCCCUCCGUCAAGGUGCAGUGACCAUCAGGGAUUUCAGGAGGCUGUAAGGAGCAUGGGGUCUCUCCCUCCACCACCCCCGUGGCCAGAACUCCUUGGAGGGCUCCCCCAGGGCACCCCAGAUUGGGAACCACUGGGCUAAGCCAGUUGGGAUGAGGGUGCGACUCUCUGACGAUCCCUGCAGCCUCUCCCAUUUCCCCGUCCAGGAAGUCCUCCUGCCGCGGGGUGUCCGGGGAGAGCUUGGUGGCUGUGAGGUCAUCCUGACUCUGCCAUUUACCAGCUGUCUGAAAGCCUGGGUCCUCUUGCUUCCCUCUGUAAGGGCUGGGUGUCUUUACUGUCGCCAUUACCUCUUGUUUAGGUGUCCUGACUUCCCACCCCGUCGUGUGUGAUCCUCUCGCUGGAUUUCCGUGAUGCAAGAGGGAUGCAGGGGCGGGCGAAGUGCACGUGGAAACGGGGCUCGGGAAAUGCAGCUUCGGAGAAGCUGUCUGUGCUGGGAGCCUGGAAGGAGCCUGAUGCCAUGGCAGUCUGGCUGUGCUUCCCAAAGGAGCUCUGAAACGGUGAUGCCAGAGUGCCACAAAGACUCCCGAGAAACAGCUUCCUCGCCCAGAGGGGUCUGCUUGAAUAUGCCGACGUGCACUGGGCAUCUCGAAUAAGAGACGAAAGUCCACAAUCUGCCAAUACUGGGCAGACUGUGGUUUUCAGAGUAUAGCCUGGGGUCAGUAUUACAAGGAACACGCUUCGGGAACCCAGUCAGUGAAGGGCCCUCGUAACUAAAAGGUCUCUCUGUUUCUGUAUUAGUUAUCUACUGCUGCAUAACAAAUCACCCCGAACCUAGUGGGUGAAAACAACAGGCAUUUAUUUUCUCCAAGUGUCUGUGGGUCAGGGAUUCAGAACUGGCGUAACUGGCUUGUGGUCUUCCCUGAAGUUGCAGUCCAGGUGUCAGCUGGGGCCACCGUCACCUGACAGCUUGACUGGGGCCAGAGGGUCACCACCGUGGUGGCACACUCACUGGCUGGCAGUGCGGUGCUGGCUGUUGGCAGGAGGCCUUGGUUCCUUGCCCCACAGACUCCUCCACAGAGAUGCUGGAGCUUCCUCACAACAUGGCAGCUGGCUUCCCCCAGAUGAAUGCAAGAGAGCAAGACCGAAACCUCUCAUGACCUGGCCUUGGGAUGCACAUGUGAUCCUUUCCACACCGUCCUAUUGGUCCCACAGGGCAGUCCUAUUCAUUGUGGGAAGGGCUGAAGGAGGUCGAAAUCAUUUGGAGACCAUCUUGCAGGCCAACUGCCAUGGUAAACAUCUCUCCAGCACAAGGACAGAUAACUUGCCUCAUUCUCACAGCUGGUUUCUUACCAUUUAGUGCCAAUUAGUAAUUUUGAGAAGUGACCCUGCUAGGAGGAGGAGACCAGGACUUUAUCAGCCACGCCAACACCCCAUGAACAGCAGCAAUAAUAAUCAUCCAGGCCCGUUCGUUGAGCGCUUACCCUACGCCCAGUGCCUCAACAGCAUCGUGGAGACACGCAGUCCUUGUCCCCAAGCAGCAAGUUCCACAAUAUCUCCAAGUUAUGCCACUCAUUUUUAUGAAAUGUAUAAAAUGAGAUUUUGGGGGGGGCAAUGAUGGCUACAGGGACACAAGCAGCUUUGCCCCCUGAAAAUGCAGAGACAAAAUCCAAGACCCGUGUGAACCCACGUGGAGAAGACUGGAGUGGGGUGUAAACUCAGGAUGGAGAAAUGCCAGAGAGAAACACAUCAUAGGGACUUCCCUGGCGGUCCAGUGCUUAAGACUCCACACCCUCACUGUAAGGGGCGUGGGUUCGAUCCCUGAUCGGGGAGCUAAGAUCCCACAUGCCACGUGGUGCGGCCCCAAAAAUGAAUAAAUAAAUACCUAAUAAA